rnacentral:lncRNA from 1 species
UGCCCUUUUUCUCCCAAAUUCUCUCUACAACACCACCCAAUCCCUAGCUGCCCCACCCUAAUACACCAUAAUCCAUGGCCUUCCGAGGUCAUCUGAGACUUGUACCAGCCUUCCAUGGUUUCAAUAUGUUUGUUCUGUGGUCUCAUGACCAAACUUUGAACGGAUUUGGUCCAGUCUUUGCUCAAUGACCUUUUUCCGGUUAUCCCUAACCUUUCUCCGGCCAACCAUGGCCAUUCGAGUCAGAC